UUCGGUGGUGAUGGCGGAGGGGAAACACCUGUUCCCAUUUCGAACACAGUAGUUAAGCCCUCCAGCGCCGAUGGUACUGCUUGGGUGACCUUGUGGGAGAGUAGGACGCUGCCGAGA
rnacentral:rRNA from 1 species